UACGGAGGGGGCUAGCGUUGUUCGGAAUCACUGGGCGUAAAGCGCACGUAGGCGGAUAUUUAAGUCGGUGGUGAAAUCCUGGAGCUCAACUCCAGAACUGCCUCCGAUACUGAAUGUCUUCGAGUCCGGGAGAGGUGAGUGGAACUGCGAGUGUAGAGGUGAAAUUCGUAGAUAUUCGCAAGAACACCAGUGGCGAAGGCGGCUCACUGGCCCGGUACUGACGCUGAGGUGCGAAAGCGUGGGGAGCAAACAGG
rnacentral:rRNA from 1 species